rnacentral:lncRNA from 1 species
GACUGCUAUGCUCUGGCAGAGAGAGAGAUGCACAUAAAAGAGGCAGGCUCCAAAACAGGCUUUCGUUCUGCUUGUGAGGGUAUUUUCUUUCUUUCUAGGAUUGGAGACUCUACCACCCGGUAGUACUGGCCUUCCUGACCACCUUGGGUUGCAGCGUUAGAUGUGCUCUGAUCCUUGGAAACGGUGAGUGAUCCCUCUUUCAUGACCUGAAGGUGAUGUCUGCUUAGCUUGUUCUGUGUUCAACAGAUGGCAGCAGAGAACUGUGACCCUUCAAGCCUACUGAGGAUGUUCAAGGACACAGCAGGAACCCGCAGCCAUACGUGGAGACCAAGAUCAACUCAUUACUUUGUCUGUUGAGCUCUGUUGACCCUAAGUUCCUUUUUAAAAUACUGAAAGAGGGAUCACUUACACUUUUCCAAGGACCAGUGCACAUCAAAAACUGCUACCUGAGGAGGUCAGGAAGGCCAGUACCAGCUGGUGGUGAAGUCUCCAAUCCUAGAAGGAAAGAAGAAACCCUCACAAGAGCGUUAGAUGUGCUCUGAUCCUUG